rnacentral:rRNA from 1 species
GCCGCGUGAGUGAAGAAGGCCUUCGGGUUGUAAAGCUCUUUCAGACGGAAAGAAAUCGUGCCGGCUAAUACCCUGCAUGGAUGACGGUACCGUCAGAAGAAGCACCGGCUAACUACGUGCCAGCAGCCGCGGUAAUACGUAGGGUGCGAGCGUUAAUCGGAAUUACUGGGCGUAAAGCGUGCGCAGGCGGUUUUGUAAGACAGGUGUGAAAUCCCCGGGCUUAACCUGGGAACUGCAUUUGUGACUGCAAGGCUAGAGUAUGGCAGAGGGGGGUAGAAUUCCACGUGUAGCAGUGAAAUGCGUAGAGAUGUGGAGGAAUACCGAUGGCGAAGGCAGCCCCCUGGGUCAAUACUGACGCUCAUGCACGAAAGCGUGGGGAGCAAACAGGAUUAGAUACCCUGGUAGUCCACGCCCUAAACGAUGUCAACUAGGUGUUGGGGGAGGAGACUUCCUUAGUACCGCAGCUAACGCGUGAAGUUGACCGCCUGGGGAGACGGGCCGCAAGGUUGAA